CUCUCUCUCUCUCUCCUCUCUCUCUCUCUCUCUCUCUCUCUCUCUCUCUCUCUGUGCGUUUUGUGUUACGCUAAUAGAACCUUUAGAUUAAUUAAGUUGGCUGUUGGGUUUUUUUGAUUCUGGAUAUGGGUUUGAGUUGGCUUUUGGGAUUUUGAUUAUCAAAUCUCUGUUUUUAAUCAGAUUAUCUGACAUGGGUUUGAGUUCCUGUGAAUGUUUUCAGACAUGGGUUUGAGUUCUUUUUGGUCUGUGACAAAGUGUUCUUGCAUUUGCUUUCAAGUCUUUUAUUGUUUGGUCUGAAUAAAGCUUGGUUAAGUAACAUAUUUUUACGUUUGAUGCAUAGAUGAUAAGAAGACUAAGAAAAUGAUAUAUUACUACAAGACUCUUGUUAGUUCGUAUGCUUAUGAAAUAUUCCUUCCAUAUUAUAAUAAUGAUAAUAGCUAGGUAGUUUAAAUUGGUUGUCACAUAUCAUGCACGCACCUUGGUUACGAUAAUCAAGUCGAUAUGAAUUGUAGUUUUAUGAAUAAUUAAACAUUUCUAUCCGACCACCAACGAACACUCGAGAGGUGUUUAACCGAAGACAUUCAAGCUUGCGAUCAGUGAUUGAGCGGACAUUUGGAGUGUGGAAAGCAAAAUGGAGAAUUUUUGACCGUAGGCAUCCAAAAUAUGGUUUGAUCAAAUGGAUAAAGCUAGUGACGGCAACGAUGGCUCUACACAACUUCAUACGUGAUUCACAUCGAGAAGAUAAUGAUUUUAUGCAUUGGCAGAGAAGAGAGAAUAUCAUACACAUGGCGAUAAUGAUGAAGAAGAAAGAGAUGAAGAGGAAGAUGAUGAAGAAGAAGAAAGAGAUGAAGAGGAAGAUGAUGAAGAAGAAGAAGAUGGUGAUGGUAAUGAUGGACAUAUUCCAUAUGAGCUGACUGGUGAUAGAGCCAUGGAAGAGUUAAGAGUUACGUGAUCAUAUUGGUAAUGAGUUGAGUAGAGGAUAUUGAUUACGUUACUAGUUUAUUUGAUUUGAGUUUGUAUUGAUGUUUAUUAUUAGUUACUCGUAUGACCACUUUCUUUAUUAUCUAGACUUUUUCAAUAUUCUAACUUACAUGGAAUGAUAUUCAAGUGUAGACGAUUUUUUGUUGAGACAUUUUCUUGAAUCAGUUGAAGUGGAAAAUAAGGUAUAGAGUAAGCUUUAUAAUUUUAAUGAUUUAGCCACGUUUUUGAAGAAAUUUAAGUACACAAGAGCAAAUGUAUGUCAAAAAUAAUAUUUGGUCGCCAGCGAUACCGAAACGAACAACAUAGCGACAACCGCUGCGAUCAAUCGCGCGACAUGGAAACGAACAACUCAGCGACAACCGCUGCGAUCAAUCGCGCGACGUUCAAACGAACAACUAUCAGUGAUAUCAUGUCGCAGUCGCUGGUCGCUGACGCUGGCAAUCACGAAACGAACAGAGCAUUCAUCGUUAGAAAGGGGUGAAAAUAAAUAAAAGAUGGAUUAUAAAAUCUAGAAAUGAUAGAAAAAUAGACGGCUGGAAUUUUCAAAAAAAAAAAAAAACACUUGCUUAUUGCAUAUGACUUGUCACGUGUGAAUUAGCUGGCGAAAAAAUAUUAUAAAAGUGACCAAUACUAAACAUUAAACCCCAAUUAUCCAUCAGCGUACUAAGAAAUCAUCCACCACCCAGAAAUCGUGUAAAGGCAUUGUUUGGUUGAUGGAACAACAUAUCUCUCAAGAUCAAGCUCGUGAGUCUCUCAUCGCCAUCAUCUCUUACACCUCAUCGCUGGAGCAAGAGCCUCUAACCACCUCAGAUGUGAAACCUGUCAUCACCAUAAGAAACUCAGAAGAUGCGGAAGAGCUCAGAUCAGAGCUGAUUUCCAUCUCCGACCACGACUCACCGGAUGAACCUAUUUCCUCGACACCACCGGCCAACAGUAUCUGUCGUGGAUAGUAGUAAAUGUACAGCACCAAGUCUUUGCUUUUGUUUGGUCUAAAAGUAGACCAUUAAUGUCACAUAUGUAAACGUCUCUCAUCAAUCAAUAUAUCUUCUUUGUGUGCUUA